GAUUAGCUCAGGUGGUAGAGCACUUGACUUUUAAUCAAGUUGUCGUGGGUUCGAGUCCCAUAUC
rnacentral:tRNA from 1 species